UGGUUUAAUUCGAUGAAAAGUGAAGAACCUUAUUAGGGCUUGACAUGUCGCGAAUCCUCUUAAAAUAGAGGGGUGCCUUCGAGAACGCGGACACAGAUGGUGCAUGACUGUCGUCAGCUCGUGCCAUAAGGUAUUGGGUUAAGUCCCGCAACGAGCACAACCCUGGUGUUUAGUUUCCAUAAUUGAGUUUGGAACCCAACCGGAGAAUCUAAAAGCGACAUUACUUUGAAUUAAACCAACAAAAAUGUAGUUAGUCUUAAGGCUUAAGCUUCCA
rnacentral:ncRNA from 1 species